GGGUUGUGAGGUUAAGCGACUAAGCGUACACGGUGGAUGCCCUGGCAGUCAGAGGCGAUGAAGGGCGUGCUAAUCUGCGAUAAGCGCCGGUAAGGUGAUAUGAACCGUUAUAACCGGCGAUACCCGAAUGGGGAAACCCAGUGUGAUUCGUCACACUAUCAUUAACUGAAUCCAUAGGUUAAUGAGGCGAACCGGGGGAACUGAAACAUCUAAGUACCCCGAGGAAAAGAAAUCAACCGAGAUUCCCCCAGUAGCGGCGAGCGAACGGGGAGGAGCCCAGAGCCUGAAUCAGCAUGUGUGUUAGUGGAAGCGUCUGGAAAGGCGCGCGAUACAGGGUGACAGCCCCGUACACAAAAGCGCAUGUGCUGUGAGCUCGAUGAGUAGGGCGGGACACGUGGUAUCCUGUCUGAAUAUGGGGGGACCAUCCUCCAAGGCUAAAUACUCCUGACUGACCGAUAGUGAACCAGUACCGUGAGGGAAAGGCGAAAAGAACCCCGGCGAGGGGAGUGAAAAAGAACCUGAAACCGUGUACGUACAAGCAGUGGGAGCACAGGUUUACCUGUGUGACUGCGUACCUUUUGUAUAAUGGGUCAGCGACUUAUAUUCUGUAGCAAGGUUAACCGAAUAGGGGAGCCGGAGGGAAACCGAGUCUUAAUUGGGCGUUAAGUUGCAGGGUAUAGACCCGAAACCCGGUGAUCUAGCCAUGGGCAGGUUGAAGGUUGGGUAACACUAACUGGAGGACCGAACCGACUAAUGUUGAAAAAUUAGCGGAUGACCUGUGGCUGGGGGUGAAAGGCCAAUCAAACCGGGAGAUAGCUGGUUCUCCCCGAAAGCUAUUUAGGUAGCGCCUCGUGAAUUCAUCUCCGGGGGUAGAGCACUGUUUCGGCUAGGGGGCCAUCCCGGCUUACCAACCCGAUGCAAACUGCGAAUACCGGAGAAUGUUAUCACGGGAGACACACGGCGGGUGCUAACGUCCGUCGUGAAGAGGGAAACAACCCAGACCGCCAGCUAAGGUCCCAAAGUCAUGGUUAAGUGGGAAACGAUGUGGGAAGGCCCAGACAGCCAGGAUGUUGGCUUAGAAGCAGCCAUCAUUUAAAGAAAGCGUAAUAGCUCACUGGUCGAGUCGGCCUGCGCGGAAGAUGUAACGGGGCUAAACCAUGCACCGAAGCUGCGGCAGCGACACUGUGUGUUGUUGGGUAGGGGAGCGUUCUGUAAGCCUGUGAAGGUGGCCUGUGAGGGUUGCUGGAGGUAUCAGAAGUGCGAAUGCUGACAUAAGUAACGAUAAAGCGGGUGAAAAGCCCGCUCGCCGGAAGACCAAGGGUUCCUGUCCAACGUUAAUCGGGGCAGGGUGAGUCGACCCCUAAGGCGAGGCCGAAAGGCGUAGUCGAUGGGAAACGGGUUAAUAUUCCCGUACUUGGUGUUACUGCGAAGGGGGGACGGAGAAGGCUAUGUUGGCCGGGCGACGGUUGUCCCGGUUUAAGCGUGUAGGUGUGUGUUCCAGGUAAAUCCGGUUCACUUUAACACUGAGGCGUGACGACGAGGCACUACGGUGCUGAAGCAACAAAUGCCCUGCUUCCAGGAAAAGCCUCUAAGCAUCAGGUAACAUCAAAUCGUACCCCAAACCGACACAGGUGGUCAGGUAGAGAAUACCAAGGCGCUUGAGAGAACUCGGGUGAAGGAACUAGGCAAAAUGGUGCCGUAACUUCGGGAGAAGGCACGCUGACACGUAGGUGAAGUGAUUUACUCAUGGAGCUGAAGUCAGUCGAAGAUACCAGCUGGCUGCAACUGUUUAUUAAAAACACAGCACUGUGCAAACACGAAAGUGGACGUAUACGGUGUGACGCCUGCCCGGUGCCGGAAGGUUAAUUGAUGGGGUCAGCGCAAGCGAAGCUCCUGAUCGAAGCCCCGGUAAACGGCGGCCGUAACUAUAACGGUCCUAAGGUAGCGAAAUUCCUUGUCGGGUAAGUUCCGACCUGCACGAAUGGCGUAAUGAUGGCCAGGCUGUCUCCACCCGAGACUCAGUGAAAUUGAACUCGCUGUGAAGAUGCAGUGUACCCGCGGCAAGACGGAAAGACCCCGUGAACCUUUACUAUAGCUUGACACUGAACAUUGAGCCUUGAUGUGUAGGAUAGGUGGGAGGCUUUGAAGUGUGGACGCCAGUCUGCAUGGAGCCGACCUUGAAAUACCACCCUUUAAUGUUUGAUGUUCUAACGUGGACCCGUAAUCCGGGUUGCGGACAGUGUCUGGUGGGUAGUUUGACUGGGGCGGUCUCCUCCUAAAGAGUAACGGAGGAGCACGAAGGUUGGCUAAUCCUGGUCGGACAUCAGGAGGUUAGUGCAAUGGCAUAAGCCAGCUUGACUGCGAGCGUGACGGCGCGAGCAGGUGCGAAAGCAGGUCAUAGUGAUCCGGUGGUUCUGAAUGGAAGGGCCAUCGCUCAACGGAUAAAAGGUACUCCGGGGAUAACAGGCUGAUACCGCCCAAGAGUUCAUAUCGACGGCGGUGUUUGGCACCUCGAUGUCGGCUCAUCACAUCCUGGGGCUGAAGUAGGUCCCAAGGGUAUGGCUGUUCGCCAUUUAAAGUGGUACGCGAGCUGGGUUUAGAACGUCGUGAGACAGUUCGGUCCCUAUCUGCCGUGGGCGCUGGAGAACUGAGGGGGGCUGCUCCUAGUACGAGAGGACCGGAGUGGACGCAUCACUGGUGUUCGGGUUGUCAUGCCAAUGGCACUGCCCGGUAGCUAAAUGCGGAAGAGAUAAGUGCUGAAAGCAUCUAAGCACGAAACUUGCCCCGAGAUGAGUUCUCCCUGAGACUUAAAGUCUCCUGAAGGAACGUUGAAGACGACGACGUUGAUAGGCCGGGUGUGUAAGCGCAGCGAUGCGUUGAGCUAACCGGUACUAAUGAACCGUGAGGCUUAACCUUACAACGCCGAAG
rnacentral:rRNA from 1 species